rnacentral:rRNA from 1 species
GACGAACGCUGGCGGCGUGCUUAACACAUGCAAGUCGAACGAAGUGGCGCACGGGUGAGUAACGCGUAAUCAACCUGCCCUUCAGAGGAGGACAACAGGUGGAAACGACCGCUACUCCCGCAUACUGAAGGAGGGGCUUGCGUCUGAAUGGCCAGUUGGAGGGGUAACGGCCCACAAAGGCGAUGAUCAGUAGGCUGGGUGGGGGAAUGAGGGGCCACAUUGGGACUGGUGCACGGCCCAGGAGCCUGAGGGAGGCAGCAAUGGGGAAUCAUCCGAAAUGGACGGAAGUCUGACGGAGGAACGCCGCGGGGGUGGUGACGGCCUUCGGGUUGUAAAGCUCUGUUAAUCGGGGCGCGGUACCGGAAUAGAAAGCCACGGCUAACUACGAGCCAGCAGCCGCGGUAAUUC